AUAGGUUAAGGUUUUAGGUCAUAGGUUUUGGUUUAGGUUAAGGUUAUCGGUUUAGGUUAAGGUUAUAGGUUAUAAGCUAAGGUUUUAGGUCAUAGGUUUUAGUUUAGGUUAAGGUUAUAGGUUUAGGUUAAGGUUAUAGGUUUAGGCUAAGGUUUUAGGUCAUAGGUUUUGGUUUAGGUUAAGGUUAUAGGUUUAGGUUAAGGUUAUAGGUUUAAGCUAAGGUUUUAGGUCAUAGGUUUUGGUUUAGGUUAAGGUUAUAGGUUUAGGUUAAGGAUUUAGGUCCUAGGGUUUGGUUUAGGUUAAGGUUAUAGGUUUAGGCUAAGGUUUUAGGUCAUAUGUUUUGGUUUAGGUUAAGGUUAUAGGUUUAGAUUUAGGUUUAGGUUUAGGUUAUAAGCUAUAGGUUUAGGGAAUUGAGAAUAGGUUAAGGUUUAAGUUUAGGAAAUCGGGUUCGGGUUCGGGAUUGGGUUCAGGUUUGGGUUUUCAAGUUUAGGUUUA